CCUACGGGAGGCAGCAGCAAGGAAUUUUCCGCAAUGGGCGAAAGCCUGACGGAGCAACGCCGCGUGCGGGAUGACGCUUUUCGGAGUGUAAACCGCUUUUCUCGGGGACGAUGAAGGACGGUACCCGAGGAAUAAGGCCCGGCUAACUACGUGCCAGCAGCCGCGGUAAUACGUAGGGGCCGAGCGUUGUCCGGAGUUAUUAGGCGUAAAGCGCGCGCAGGCGGCUUCGCGCGUCCGACGUGAAAGCCCCCGGCUUAACCGGGGAGGGUCGUUGGGUACGGCGGAGCUUGAGGGCGGGAGAGGGUGGUGGAAUUCCCGGUGUAGUGGUGAAAUGCGUAAAGAUCGGGAGGAACACCUGUGGCGAAGGCGGCCACCUGGGCCGACCCUGACGCUGAGGCGCGAAGGCGUGGGGAGCGAACGGGAUUAGAUACCCCGGUAGUCCACGCAGUAAACGAUGCAGACUAGGCGUAGGUGGACUUGACCCCAUCUGUGCCGGAGCUAACGCGGUAAGUCUGCCGCCUGGGGAGUACGGCCGCAAGGUUAAAAACUCAAAGGAAUUGACGGGGGCCCGCACAACCGGCGGAGCGUGCGGUUUAAUUCUACGCAACGCGCAAACCUCACCAAGGCUUGCCAUGGACCUGCAUGACCGGGAAAACCGGGAUGCCUUCGAGGGUGG
rnacentral:rRNA from 1 species